GUCUUAUUGAUUAAUAAUUUUAAGUCUUGCCUGCCCUCUGUUAUAAUAAUAAAUGGCCGCAUUAAUUUGACUGUGCUAAGGUAGCAUAAUCAUUAGUUUUUUAAUUGAAAGCUGGAAUGAAAGGUGAUAUAAGAAAAUAUCUGUCUCUUUUAUAAAAUUAAAAUUUUAUUUUUAAGUAAAAAAGCUUAAAUAGGAUUAAAAGACGAGAAGACCCUAUAGAAUUUAAUAUAAAAUAAUUUUUUAAUUUAUUAGAAAUUAAAAUUUAAAGAUUAAUUUAUAUUUAAUUGGGGUGAUUAAAAAACAUAAUAAUCUUUUUUUUUUAUAGGACCAUUGAUAUAUGAUUAUAUGAUUCAUUUUUAUGAUUUAAGAAUAAAUUACCUUAGGGAUAACAGCGUAAUUUUUUUUUAAAGUUCAAAUUAAAAGGAAAGAUUGCGACCUCGAU
rnacentral:rRNA from 1 species